rnacentral:rRNA from 1 species
AGAGUUUGAUCCUAGCUCAGGGUGAACGCUAGCGGUGCGCCUAACACAUGCAAGUCGAGCGGGAUCUGUACGACCGAUCUCUUCGGAGUGAAGAUGUUCAGUGAGAGCGGCGAACGGGUGAGUAACACGUUGGUAUCUGCCCCCAAGUCAGGGAUAGCCAUUGGAAACGAUGAUUAAUACCGGAUAGUCUCUACGGAGUAAAAAUUUAUUGCUUGGGGAGGAACCUGCGUUCUAUCAGCUUGUUGGUGAGGUAAUAGCUCACCAAGGCUAUGACGGAUAACUGGUCUGAGAGGAUGAUCAGUCACAAUGGAACUGAGACACGGUCCAUACUCCUACGGGAGGCAGCAGUGAGGAAUCUUCCACAAUGGACGAAAGUCUGAUGGAGCGACACCGCGUGAAGGAUGAAGGCCUAACGGUUGUAAACUUCUUUUCUGAAGGAGCAUAAUGAGAGUACUUCAGGAAUAAGGGACGGCUAAAUACGUGCCAGCAGCCGCGGUAAUACGUAUGUCCCAAGCGUUACCCGGAAUUACUGGGUGUAAAGGGUUCGUAGGCGGCAGGAUAAGUUGAAUAUGAAAGACCGGGGCUCAACCUCGUGUUUGUAUUCAAAACUGUUUUGCUAGAAUCAGGGAGAGGUUAGCGGAAUUCUGAGUGUAGGGGUGCAAUCCGUAGAUACUCAGAGGAACACCAAAAGCGAAGGCAGCUAACUGGAACUGUAUUGACGCUCAUGAACGAAAGCGUGGGGAGCGAAAAGGAUUAGAUACCCUUGUAGUCCACGCCCUAAACGAUGAUAACUAAGUGUUGGGUGUAUACCCAGUGCUGUAGCUAACGCGUUAAGUUAUCCACCUGAGGAGUACGGUCGCAAGAUUAAAACUCAAAGGAAUAGACGGGGACCCACACAAGCAGUGGAUCACGUGGUUUAAUUCGACAAUAAACGGGGAACCUUACCCAGACUUGACAUCCUAGGAAUCUUUCAGAGAUGAAAGAGUGCUUCUAUUAGAACCCAGAGACAGGUGCUGCAUGGUUGUCGUCAGCUCGUGCCUUGAGGUGUUCGGUUAAGUCCGUUAACGAGCGCAACCCAUGUCCUUAGUUAUUAUGUCUAAGGAGACUGCCUAUGUUAAAUAGGAGGAAGGUGUGGAUGACGUCAAAUCAGCAUGGCUUUUACGUCUGGGGCUACACACAUGAUACGAUGGUACGUACAAAGAGCAGCAAUAUCGUAAGGUGGAGCUAAUCUUCAAAGCGUAUCUCAGUCCGGAUUGAGGUCUGAAACUCGACCUCAUGAAGUUGGAAUUGCUAGUAAUCGUGAAUCAGAUAUGUCACGGUGAAUAUGUUCCUGGGUCUUGUACUCACCGCCCGUCAUGGCAUGGGAGGUAGUAAUAUCGGAAGUCCCUCUAGUAAUAUGAGGGCCCAUGGUAGGACUACUGACUGGGCUAAAGUCGAAACAAGGUA